AUUGAACGCUGGCGGCAGGCCUAACACAUGCAAGUCGAACGAGUGGCGGACGGGUGAGUAAUGUCUGGGAAACUGCCCGAUGGAGGGGGAUAACUACUGGAAACGGUCUCUAAUACCGCAUACCCUCAUGUGUGCCCAGAUGGGAUUUGCUAGUAGGUGGGGUAAUGGCUCACCUAGGCCACGAUCCCUAGCUGGUCUGAGAGGAUGACCAGCCACACUGGAACUGAGACACGGUCCCGACUCCUACGGGAGGCAGCAGUGGGGAAUAUUGCACAAUGGGCGCAAGCCUGAUGCAGCCAUGCCGCGUGUAUGAAGAAGGCCUUCGGGUUGUAAAGUACUUUCAGCGAGGAGGCGUUACUCGCAGAAGAAGCACUGGCUAACUCCGUGCCAGCAGCCGCGGUAAUUC
rnacentral:rRNA from 1 species